rnacentral:lncRNA from 1 species
UUUGUCCAAGUGAAUGGAUAAAUUCUCACUCAUCCUCUUAGAGGAAAACUGGUAACAAAUGCUCCUUUCCAAGCCAGUUUUUUAAGACCCCAAGCCAGCUUUGGACCACGGCUUCAGUAGAUGUUUGUGUGUGGAUUUAGGAUGAUCCACUCUUAACUGUUACUUGCUACAGUGUUGCUCUCCUCCCUGUCUUCGCUCAGCGUGUAGAACGUGGGUCCUCGGUUGUGUCUCCAGGAUCAUCGUUGCCUGCCCCAUCACCAUCAAAGGAGCCUCUCAGCUGCAGUGGUGGAUCCAGCCCAUCCAGUGGUCCACCUGGGAGGUCUCAGCCAAGCUAUCUCAACACACUCCUCUGCUUGGAAUUGUGAACACAAAAAGGAUUAAAGCUCUGCCUACCAACAUCUCUGCCACAAGAGACUGGCCCCCACUGUGAGAAUGCUCUGCCUGAUCUCUGAAGAUUCACAGGCUUCCAGGCACGAUCAUAUCUCUUCUAAGUCCUGCACUUACCUGAGGUCAAAAGCCUUUAAAUUGGUACAGGUGGCCGAGUUGGGAUACAACAAAAUGCAUUCAGACAAUCCGAUCCUGUGAUCUGGCAAAAUGCAAAACAUUAUAGCCACUUACUAAAAACUGGGUAACAUUGUGCAGAAACUCAGGGGACAGAUACAAAUGAUUGUUUGUCCAUAUUGAUUUGAUUCCUGUAAGCUAAUGAAGAAAUUACCUUGUGACAUCAAAGACCUAGUACUCAAUAAAAAGAGAAAACAUUCAUUUA